UUUGCAGUAACAGGUAUGAACACUCUAGCAGCAGUUUGAUGAUCAUGUAUGAUACUGCAAACAGGA
rnacentral:miRNA from 1 species